rnacentral:rRNA from 1 species
UACGUAGGGGGCAAGCGUUGUCCGGAAUCAUUGGGCGUAAAGCGCGUGUAGGCGGUUCAGUAAGUCUGCUGUGAAAGUCCAGGGCUCAACCCUGGGAUGCCGGUGGAUACUGCUGGGCUAGAGUACGGAAGAGGCGAGUGGAAUUCCCGGUGUAGCGGUGAAAUGCGCAGAUAUCGGGAGGAACACCUAUUGCGAAGGCAGCUCGCUGGGACGUCACUGACGCUGAGACGCGAAAGCGUGGGGAGCAAACAGG